UUUGGGGAGUUGGUGAUGGAGCUCUCACUCACCUGAAUCUUUCCUUUAAUCAGCUGGAGCACAUGGAACAGCCACACAAUGUUUCCAGCAAUCUUCUAGUCUUUGACUUGCAUUCCAACCGUAUAAAAGGUGACCUACCAAUUCCACCUUCUUCUGCCAUCUUUGUGGACUACUAUUUUCAAUCACCUUCUCCUUUUUAUACCAAUUCCACCUUCUUCCGCCAUCUUUGUGGACUACUCGAACAAUAAUUUCAACAAUUCCAUCCCACGAGAUAUUGGUGAUUUUCUUGCUCUUGCUUCCUUUUUCUCAGUAGCAAAUAAUGAACUCACCGGAAGAAUUCCUGAAUCCAUAUGCAAGGCUAGCUACCUUCAACUUCAAGUUCUUGAUUUGUCUUGCAAUGCCUUGAGUGGAACAAUACCACCAUGCCUACUGGAAAAAAGUACAACUCUUGGAGUGCUGAAUCUAGGAAAUAAUAGACUCAAUGGUGUUAUGCCAAAUUCAUUUCCAAUUAGUUGUGCUCUAAAAACAUUAGACGUCAGUAGGAAUAGCUUAGAAGGGAAGCUGCCGAAGUCGCUGGCCAACUGCAAAUUGCUGGAGGUCCUGAAUGUUGGAAAUAACAGACUUGUUGACGGUUUCCCAUGCAUGCUGAGUAACUCAACCAGUCUGAGAGUCCUAGUCCUGCGCUCCAAUCUAUUCACUGGAAGUCUUGAGUGUGAUCCAACAGGAUAUAGCUGGCAAAAUCUCCAGAUCAUAGAUAUAGCUUCCAACAACUUCACUGGUAUGUUGAACGCAGAAUGCUUUUCAAAUUGGAGAGGAAUGAUGGUUG
rnacentral:lncRNA from 1 species